UGGUGGAGUGGAGAGCACUGUAUGAAGUGAUAUUAAAGGUACAGUAGUUUACCUGGUGGAGUGGAGAGCACUGUAUGAAGUGAUAUUAAAGGUACAGUAGUUUACCUGGUGGAGUGGAGAGCACUGUAUGAAGUGAUAUUAAAGGUACAGUAGUUUACCUGGUGGAGUGGAGAGCACUGUAUGAAGUGAUACUAAAGGUACAGUAGUUUACCUGGUGGAGUGGAGAACACUGUAUGAAGUGAUAUUAAAGGUACAGUAGUUUACCUGGUGGAGUGGAGAACACUGUAUGAAGUGAUAUUAAAGGUACAGUAGUUUACCUGGUGGAGUGGAGAGCACUGUAUGAAGUGAUAUUAAAGGUACAGUAGUUUACCUGGUGGAGUGGAGAGCACUGUAUGAAGUGAUACUAAAGGUACAGUAGUUUACCUGGUGGAGUGGAGAACACUGUAUGAAGUGAUAUUAAAGGUACAGUAGUUUACCUGGUGGAGUGGAGAACACUGUAUGAAGUGAUAUUAAAGGUACAGUAGUUUACCUGGUGG